rnacentral:lncRNA from 1 species
UGUGGCCAGAGAAAUAGCUUGGGGUUUGAAUCUGUUCUGUUUGUCCUUUUUGGUUAUAGGCACAAUCAGUGGUUGCCAUGGCAGCCUCAUCCAAGAUGAAUGUUGCUAUCCGCCUGGCAGAGAAAUCUGCAGAAGCCAAGGUCUCAGGACAUAAGUCCAGGGGGACUUUCCACUUUGCUAUUGUUGGGACCAUGCUAUAUAUGAACUGAGUUAAGCUGUGACAUCUUCUCCAAAGACAAAAAUAAUACAAAGAGGGAUAAUAUCCAACGUGUGAUUUUUUUUUGAGGCAUCAUCUUCUUAUCUUGUUGUGGAAGAGCUUUGAGUUGGAACCCUGAAUCUGGAAGGCUCUCCUUUGCAAAAAUUUUAGAUGAUAAUCAGACAUCUCAGAUAUAAAAUACAUGCUUAUCAGGAGCAAGCAAGGAAGUGCCUAACUGUACUCAUCAAGAAUGACGGGAGAGGCCAGAGGGGCUCAAAGUCACCUUCCCGAGCACUGCAGGAAUGAUGCUGUCAAUAUAGAUGAUGUUCACAACAUUUUUAUGGAGAUGAGAAACCAAGCAAGGAGUUGAUCA